AGCAAGCUUCUAUAUUUACCAUGGCUCUUUAAAUUUGGUUUGGGUUGUAAAAUUCUUUUUGUGGUAAGUCGUUGAUGAUUGUUGAGUGAGGCAUCAGAAAAGGGGUUUGAAUAAAUAAAGCGGAGAGCAGAGCAAAGAAAGAAGCAGUAAGUAGCUGUGAGUCUCUGCAUUCUAUUAGGGUUUGCAGAUCAUUUACGCGUUUCUCUAUUAUGCACCCAUCUCUCUGUGAGGGAACAUGGUGCCUGAUUCCCUAAAACAUAGAAUUCUGAUGGUCUCAGAUUUUUUCUAUCCCAAUUUUGGCGGUGUGGAGAAUCACAUAUAUUAUCUCUCGCAAUGCUUGCUCGAGUUAGGCCACAAGGUGGUGGUUGUAACUCAUGCUUAUGGAAGUCGAUCUGGGGUUAGAUACAUGACAGGUGGUCUGAAAGUCUACUAUGUUCCAUGGAAGCCGUUUGUUAUGCAGAAUACAUUACCGACCAUCUAUGGAUUGCUACCAAUUAUAAGAACUAUUCUUAUUCGAGAAAGAAUUACAGUGGUCCAUGGACAUCAAGCCUUUUCAACAUUUUGUCAUGAAGCUCUUAUGCAUGCAAGAACAAUGGGAUACAAGGUUGUGUUUACAGAUCAUUCACUGUAUGGUUUUUCUGAUGUUGGAAGCAUCCACAUGAACAAGGUGCUGCAGUUUACUUUGGCAGAUGUGAGUCAAGCCAUAUGUGUUUCUCAUACUAGCAAGGAAAACACAGUGCUGCGAUCAGGUUUGCCACCGGAGAAGGUUUUUGUCGUACCUAAUGCUGUUGACACUGCCAUUUUCAAGCCAGCAGUGGAUCGUCCUUGUGGACCGGAAAUUGUUAUUGUUGUUAUCAGCCGGUUGGUUUAUCGGAAGGGAGUUGAUUUGCUUGUUGAAGUCAUUCCAGAAGUAUGCCGAUUACAUCCUAAUGUUCGUUUUAUUAUUGGAGGUGAUGGACCUAAGCGUGUGCGGUUGGAAGAGAUGAGAGAAAAGCAUUCUCUUCAAGAUCGAGUUGAAAUGUUGGGAGCUGUGCAACAUGUACAAGUCCGAUCUGUUCUAAUAUCUGGGCACAUCUUCUUAAACAGUUCCUUAACAGAAGCCUUUUGUAUAGCCAUUCUAGAGGCUGCAAGUUGUGGAUUAUUAACAGUCAGCACACGUGUUGGAGGAGUUCCUGAGGUUUUGCCAGAUGAAAUGAUUGUUUUGGCAGAACCUGAUCCCAGUGAUAUGGUGCAUGCAAUUCAAAAGGCAAUAGCUAUGCUGCCCAAAAUUGAUCCAAAAGUCAUGCAUAAUCGAAUGAGAGAACUCUACAAUUGGCAUGAUGUUGCCAAAAGGACUGAAAUUGUAUAUGAUCGUGCUUUGAAGUGCUCCAAUCAAAAUCUACUGGAACGCCUCUCACGGAACCUCCAAUGCUCUGACAGUCUAUGUUCUUUUAGUUACCUCUUUUGUGGAGCGUGGGCCGGCAAGUUGUUUUGCUUGGUUAUGAUAGUUGGUUUCUUGUUAUGGCAGCUAUUGGAACUUUGGCAGGUAGGCUGGUGGUCUUGGAUGCGUUUUACAUUUUUAUCUUGUUUUUGUUUUGUUUUAGUGACCACAUUUAUUGCAUAUCUCCCACUAUUAGCCUGCAGAUGAUAUUGAGGAGGUGCCAGAUUUUACUCUUCCACGCAAUUGUGAUGAAGAGAUGUCGGAAAAAAAACCAUUGAAAUGAGCAGCGUGAUACAUUACUUUGGUGAACCACGGUGUUUUGUUUUACCACUAAUUUGUUAUGCAGAAUAUCAAAAGAAUACAGGUGGUGUUUACACUUCUUCCAAGUUCCCAGAUCUUAAAAUGCAAAUAAUCAUGAAUCCUUUGCAUAAGUGGACUUGGCCUCGUAUAUAUGUGGCUGGAAUUAGAGGACUGGAGUUUGCUGGCCCGAUAUGAGAUAUGGCCUCGGCUGUCAUGUGACGAUUUAACAUGUUGGGAGCAGCAUCUCGGGGCUAAUUGACCGAUGUAGGGUAGUUUUACCAACAACUCUUUUGAAGCAUUUGAUUAAUCUGAGGUAGUCAACGUUUUCUCUCUUCCACGUCAUUUGUUCUUUUAAUUCAAUUUUGAUUUAAAAAUAUCACUUGUAGUCCAUGUGGAAUACUGUACUGCUACUAUCGUAAGGCAGGAAGGAAGAUAGAAGAUAACAAAGAUAUGAUAGGGAGAAUGGAGAGACAAAAGACAUAGAUGAAACAAAUAAUAAGAUGAAUAGUGAAGAGAAGGGACAUGAAGAUGCAGUGAUGGAGAACAAGAAACGUGGUGGGAGAGUGGACAAGAGGGAUCGUCACUCGAAGGUUAAUGGAAGAGAUCGUCGUGUUCGUUUGUCAACAAUAUGUGCUGCACGUGUCUUCCAACUCACACGUGAGUUAGGUUACAAGACUGAUGGUGAGACCAUUGAGUGGCUCUUGCGCAUGGCUGAGCCCUCCAUUAUCGCCCUCACCGGCACCGGCAUUUCGCCUUCCGCGUCGGUGGCGCCCCCGGACGCUGUUGCUGCUCAAGAUGCUAACGAGGUCGCCGAUAACGUUACUGAGGAGCCGAAUCCAUCUUUUGAUUUCGACUUUGAUUUGUUGGACUCGGAUUUUGAGAUUUUAAUGAAUUGUGAUUAAUUAAUUAAUAGAGUGAAAUAUAAAUGAUGGUAACCAGAAUGGAGUUAAUUAACCUGAGGGUGAUGAAUAGGUUAUAACUUAUAGGCAU